GAUGAAGAACGUAGCGAAAUGCGAUACGUAAUGUGAAUUGCAGAAUUCAGUGAAUCAUCGAAUCUUUGAACGCAUAUUGCGCUCUCUGGUAUUCCGGAGAGCAUGCUUGUUUGAGUAUCAGUAAACACCUCAACUUCCAUAUCUUUUUUGAAAUGGGAGUUGGACUUGAGUGAUCCCAACGCUUUUCCUCACCGAAAAGUGGCGGGUUACUUGAAAUGCAGGUGCAGCUGGACUUUUCUCUGAGCUAUAAGCAUAUCUAUUUAGUCUGCCUAAAAAACAGAUUAUUACCUUUGCUGCAGCUAACAUAAAGGAGAUUAGUUCUUGUGCUGACUGAUGCAGGAUUCACAAAGACAGGCUUCGGCCGACUUUGUAAACUCGAUCUCAAAUCAAGUAAGACUACCCGCUGACCUUAAGCAUAUCAAUAAGCGGAGGA
rnacentral:misc_RNA from 1 species